rnacentral:rRNA from 1 species
UACAGAGGUGGCAAGCGUUGUUCGGAAUUACUGGGCGUAAAGGGCGCGUAGGCGGCUCGGCACGUCCGUUGUGAAAUCGCCCGGCUCAACUGGGCGGGGUCGGCGGAUACGGCCGAGCUGGAGCACGCUAGGGGGUAAUGGAAUUCCCGGUGUAGUGGUGGAAUGCGUAGAUAUCGGGAGGAACACCAGUGGCGAAGGCGGUUACCUGGAGCUUUGCUGACGCUGAUGCGCGAAAGCGUGGGGAGCGAUCCGG